GAGCUUGCUCUCCAAUGUUAGUGGCGGACGGGUGCGUAACACGUGAGCAACUUGUCCUUCGGUGGGGGAUAGCCGGCCCAACGGCCGGGUAAUACCGCGUAUUGCAUCGUUAUCGCAUGGUGAUGAUGUGAAAGUGGCCGCAAGGUCGCGCCGGAGGAGGGGCUCGCGGCGUAUCAGCUUGUUGGUGGGGUAACGGCCUACCAAGGCGACGACGCGUAGCUGGUCUGAGAGGAUGAUCAGCCACAUUGGGACUGAGAUACGGCCCAGACUCCUACGGGAGGCAGCAGUGGGGAAUAUUGCGCAAUGGCCGCAAGGCUGACGCAGCGACGCCGUGUGUGGGAUGAAGGCUCUCGGGUUGUAAACCACUGUCAGGAGGGACGAAUACUCGGCUUCAAAUAGUUGACCGAGGGUGACGGUACCUCCAAAGGAAGCACCGGCUAACUCCGUGCCAGCAGCCGCGGUAACACGGAGGGUGCGAGCGUUGUCCGGAUUCACUGGGCGUAAAGCGCGCGUAGGCGGCUUUGUAAGUCAUCUGUGAAAUCCCGGGGCUCAACUCCGGGGCUGCAGGUGAUACUGCGGAGCUAGAGCUCGGUAGAGGCAAGUGGAAUUCCCGGUGUAGCGGUGGAAUGCGUAGAUAUC
rnacentral:rRNA from 1 species